rnacentral:rRNA from 1 species
UUACACAUGCAAGUCGAGCGAUGAAGUUUCCUUCGGGCAAACGGGAUUAGCGGCGGUACGGGUGCAGUAACACGUGGGAUAACCUGCCUCAUAGAGUGGAAUAGCCUUCCGAAAGGAAGAUUAAUACCGCAUAACGUUGAAAGAUGGCAUCAUCAUUCAACCAAAGGAGCAAUCCGCUAUGAGAUGGACCCGCGGCGCAUUAGCCUAGUUGGUGGGGUAACGGCCUACCAAGGCGACGAUGCGUAGCCGACCUGAGAGGGUGAUCGGCCACAUUGGGACUGAGACACGGCCCAGACUCCUACGGGAGGCAGCAGUGGGGAAUAUUGCACAAUGGGGGAAACCCUGAUGCAGCAACGCCGCGUGAGUGAUGAAGGUUUUCGGAUCGUAAAGCUCUGUCUUUGGGGAAGAUAAUGACGGUACCCAAGGAGGAAGCCACGGCUAACUACGUGCCAGCAGCCGCGGUAAUACGUAGGUGGCGAGCGUUAUCCGGAUUUACUGGGCGUAAAGGGAGCGUAGGCGGAUGAUUAAGUGGGAUGUGAAAUACCCGGGCUCAACUUGGGUGCUGCAUUCCAAACUGGUUAUCUAGAGUGCAGGAGAGGAGAGUGGAAUUCCUAGUGUAGCGGUGAAAUGCGUAGAGAUUAGGAAGAACACCAGUGGCGAAGGCGACUCUCUGGACUGUAACUGACGCUGAGGCUCGAAAGCGUGGGGGAGCAAACAGGAUUAGAUACCCUGGUAGUCCACGCCGUGAACGAUGAAUACUAGGUGUGGGGGUUUCAACACCUCCGUGGCCGCCGCUAACGCNUUAAGUAUUCCCCCUGGGGGAGUACGGUCGCAAGAUUAAAACUCAAAGGAAUUGAC